rnacentral:rRNA from 1 species
AUUGAACGCUGGCGGCAUGCCUUACACAUGCAAGUCGAACGGUAACAGGUCUACGGAUGCUGACGAGUGGCGAACGGGUGAGUAAUACAUCGGAACGUGCCUAGUAGUGGGGGAUAACUACUCGAAAGAGUGGCUAAUACCGCAUGAGAUCUACGGAUGAAAGCAGGGGAUCGCAAGACCUUGUGCUACUAGAGCGGCCGAUGGCAGAUUAGGUAGUUGGUGGGAUAAAAGCUUACCAAGCCGACGAUCUGUAGCUGGUCUGAGAGGACGAUCAGCCACACUGGGACUGAGACACGGCCCAGACUCCUACGGGAGGCAGCAGUGGGGAAUUUUGGACAAUGGGCGAAAGCCUGAUCCAGCAAUGCCGCGUGCAGGAUGAAGGCCUUCGGGUUGUAAACUGCUUUUGUACGGAACGAAAAGCCCCGGGUUAAUACCCGGGGCUCAUGACGGUACCGUAAGAAUAAGCACCGGCUAACUACGUGCCAGCCGCCGCGGUAA